rnacentral:lncRNA from 1 species
UUUUUUCUGUAGGAAAAAAUAAAAGAGGAAAGGGAUUCUUUGUAAGCUAAAGUCCUUUUACACAAUUGGGGAAGCCCUCCAAAAACCAGGAAUGAUUAGCCUUGUGUUUUGUUUUGUUUUAAUUGAUGUGGGAUGAGGAGGCAGGCACGAAGCUUUUCAUUCCUUGUGCAGCUAACAGAGGAAAGGAGCCCAGGUCAAAAGCAACAGGGAAAGUGAGACAGCAAAGGGGCCUUGGGCAUAUUCUGGGAGCCUCUGAAACCAAGAGAGUUCAUUUCUCAGCCCCCUUGCUGGAGGAUUCAUAUUAACCCUGAUUCUGUCCCACACAUUUCUCAUGCUACUUUUUAUAAACAAAAUUCAGCUUUGGUUUAACUGCUUAGUAAUUUGUUUUUUUCUAACUCUCCUGCUAUUAUUUCUUUCAGGUUGCCUAGCUAUUCAAGUUAAAAAAACAUGUGUCAUGUAAAUAGGCAUUUUCCUCAGCGUGUCUGAAACUGCAAUUUUACCUGCACCACCCCCCCAACAACUGUCCUCCGAGUUAUAUGUGUUAACAUAUUUUCAAAAACCUCAGUCUGGAAGGUGAGAAGGUGAAAGGUUGGAUUGUGACAUUGUUGACAAGCUGUCAUCCUCUUCAGACUUGCAGACAAAAGGGAGCAACGUGAGCACAAUUUAGGACCCUAGGUAACCACGAUUUUGUACAUAACCACCAAUAGACCUCACAAUAACAGAGAGAUCAAAGUGAAAAAGUUUAAAGGCAGUGACAUGGAAUGACACUGGAUAAAGAUGGCCAAGACAGGAAGUUAAAUAUUAAGUCCAGGAUACAAGAUAUCAACUUCUCUUCACAACAAAACUAUCUAUCGUGUUCAGUUUGCCAAGGAAAACCUGUAAUUCAUUCAUCAGCCCUUUGUUUACCCAGAAGGUACAGAAUGGGGCCCUGGGCAGAGUAUACACUGGCUGCUCUAAUUAAUUAGAUUUUUUUUUCUGGGAUUUCUAGACUCCUUCCAUCAAUCCAACCUUAUCUCCCACGAUCUCCCUGAAUUCAGCCAUAUUUUUUUUUCUCAUGUCCCUUCAACCCACCAGGAGCUUGUCCACUCUCCUCAGGGCCCAAAUUCCUCCCUUUGCUAAGAAGUUUCUCUUCCUCUGACUUCCAGGCACCAAUCUCCAAUCCUUAUCUGCACGCCCAAGCUAAGCUCCACCUCUUCCAAGAACACCUUCCAGACAUAUUGUGUAUUGUAUUGUAAAGAAGUGCUUUUCAAGGUUUUUUGUUUGUCUCCUUAAUAUUUUUUAAAGACCCAGGGAGGGAAAAAAAAUAUUAUUUAUACUUCAAAUUCUGCAAAUUUCAGCACAUAGCAAGUAUUCAGUAAACAAUUAUUCAAGAGUUGACCAGUUAACUGAGAGUUAAGAGAAUGAGAAAGUUAGAGUUUGAGGAAGACACCCAUAUAGACUUUUGUUUAAAAUUAACUAUCAUAAUAGUUAAUCAUAACUAUCAUUUACACUGAUGUCUCCAUGUCUUCUGAGGCUAAGGCACUAGAGUUAUUCAUCUGUCUCAUGUGCCUUGGUCCUGUGUCUGCUACAGAGUAGACACUCAGAUACCCAGUAAAUGAGCCAGUUACCCCAUGCAGAAGGUAUUAAUGAGUGAACAUUGUAGGCUCACACCUUUGGUCUCUAAGCAAUACCUACCCAAACUUCUCAGGGAAUUAUGUUCUGAGUUGAAAAUACUCCCGUGGGCCCCAGGAGGAACACAUCCUUGGACCAACAAAUCAUUAGAUUUGAGCCCUGAAGGAAGAGGCAGAUCUUCUACUAAGCAAGGGGACCUACAUGAGGCCCCCAGGGCAGUGGAAACACUUUAGAGUUUGCAAGUAUGAGAUGAGUCCAGUUCUCUGUUAAUUUGAUUCCUUUGGGGGGGGGCCUUGAUUUGUGUCUUUUUUGGCUACCGUCCGGGGGGGGGCCUUGAUUUGUGUCUUUUUUGGCUACUGUCUGUUCACUUUGAAUUUCCCUUCCGCAUCUGUUUUCUCCUUCGUCUUCUCCACUUUCCCUUUUGAGCUUAUUAUCUUGAAACGCAACUGGACAGAGAGUAAGGUAGCUGGGAGACACCCUCAAGACUGAGAUGAUGUGUACAGUAGAGGUUUUCCCCAAUUACAUGACCUUGGGCUGAAACUGGGGCAUUUUCUAAUAGGAUAGAGUAAGCAACUUGAAGCAUUUCAUUGAACUUUAAUAUCUCCAAAAAACACUUGAGUAGUUACUGUGCUAUAAGUUCUCUGCUGUGCCCCAGGGGGACACAAAGGGGAAGAUACCUCAAUCUUUGGCCUGCAGGAAUGUAGUAAUAAGAGUACCUUUUGGAGUUCCUGCUGUGGCUCAGCAGAAACAAACCAACUAGUAUCCAUGAGGUUGUGGGUUGGAUCCCUGGUCUCGCUCAGUGG